UACGUAGGCAGCAAGCGUUGUUCGGAAUUACUGGGCGUAAAGGGCGCGUAGGCGGCCUACUAAGUCAGACGUGAAAUCCCCCGGCUUAACCUGGGAACUGCGUCUGAUACUGGAAGGCUUGAGUAUGGGAGAGGGAUGUAGAAUUCCAGGUGUAGCGGUGAAAUGCGUAGAUAUCUGGAGGAAUACCGGUGGCGAAGGCGGCAUCCUGGACCAUUACUGACGCUGAGGCGCGAAAGCUAGGGGAGCAAACGGG
rnacentral:rRNA from 1 species